rnacentral:rRNA from 1 species
CAGAAACUACAAAGGAAGUUGACGGGGGCCCGGCACAAGCGGUGGAGCAUGUGGUGUAAUCGAAGCAACGCGAAGAACCUUACCAGGCCUUGACAUGCAGAGAACUUUCCAGAGAUGGAUUGGUGCCUUCGGGAACUCUGACACAGGUGCUGCAUGGCUGUCGUCAGCUCGUGUCGUGAGAUGUUGGGUUAAGUCCCGCAACGAGCGCAACCCUUGCCUUUAGUUGCCAGCAGUUCGGCUGGGCACUCUAAAGGGACUGCCGGUGUUAAACCGGAGGAAGGUGGGGAUGACGUCAAGUCCUCAUGGCCUUUAUGACCAGGGCUACACACGUACUACAAUGGCCGAUACAAAGGGCAGCGACACUGCGAGGUGAAGCCAAUCCCGUAAAAUCGGUCUCAGUCCGGAUUGGAGUCUGCAACUCGACUCCAUGAAGUUGGAAUCGCUAGUAAUCGUGGAUCAGCAUGCCACGGUGAAUACGUUCCCGGGCCUU